UACGUAGGGGGCUAGCGUUGUCCGGAAUCAUUGGGCGUAAAGCGCGCGUAGGCGGCCCGGUAAGUCCGCUGUAAAAGUCAAAGGCUCAACCUUUGAAUGUCAGUGGAUACUGCCGGGCUAGAGUCCGGAAGAGGCGAGUGGAACUCCUGGUGUAGCGGUGGAAUGCGCAGAUAUCAGGAAGAACACCGACGGCGAAGGCAGCUUACUGGGCCGAUACUGACGCUGAGGAGCGAAAGCGUGGGGAGCGAACAGG
rnacentral:rRNA from 1 species